AUGGCAGAUGAGUGCAAGGUUUCUGCCGUGAAUAUAGAUGAGAGAGGGUCAUACUUGCUCAAGGUGGAUGGACACUCAAGAGCCAAGGGACUAUACAACAAGGGUGAGUACAUGGCUUCUCCCCCUUUCAGCGUUGGAGGUCACCACUGGGUCAUGGUGUAUUACCCAAACGGUGGUGACCCGGAAAAACAUGUUGGUCACAACAUACUCGUCAGCCUGGUUCUUCAUUCAGCUGAUGCCAAGGAUAUCAAGGCCCAAGUCAAAUUUUGUAUACUAGGCAAGGACGGGCUACCAGUGCAGAAACUCGGUUGUGCCGUCGCUGACUGUGUCUUCCCACGGAAAGAUUCAACAUGUGACUACUUUGUCAUACGGGAUGUUUUUGAGCAGCCCGAGCAUAUAAUAGAUGACUGUUUCAGCAUCAGGUGCGACCUAACAGUCAUCAAGAAUAAUAAUACCCUCCAUCAAGAAACUAUGGUUCCUCCAAGCGACUUGCAUCAGCAUCUCGGCAACCUCCUAGAGAGCAUGGAUGGAGCCGACGUCACCUUUCUUGUCGGCGGGGACAAGUUCUUGGCCCAUAGGGUUGUGCUCGCUGCUAGGUCAUCCGUAUUCAAGGCGGAGCUCCUCGGCGCGAUGAAGGAGAAAGCCAACAAUCUCGUUGAAAUCAAGGAGAUGGAACCCGAUGUGUUCAGGUGCUUGCUCCAUUUCAUAUACACUGACUCACUGCCCGAUCUUCAGAACAUGGCUAGCAACCAAGGUGAGGCGCGUCAAAAUGUGGUGAUGGCUAGCCAUCUGCUCGUGGCAGCUGACAGGUACAACGUCGAGAGGCUAAAACUGAUAUGCGAGCACAAGUUAUGCAGCAACAUUGAUACCAACAUGGUGGCUACCAGUUUGGCCUUAGCUGAGCAGCAUAGCUGCAAGCGACUUAAGGAAGCUUGCCUACGGUUCCUUGCUUCUCCCUCCAAUUUGGAGGCCAUGAUGGCGAGUGAUGGUUACGAGCAUCUGAAGAGGAGUUGCCCGUCUGCUCUUAAGGAGCUAAUUGCUAGUCUCCUUCCGGAUACAAUGAAAGCGGCAAAGGAUAUUAUCAUGGAAAUUUAG
rnacentral:rRNA from 1 species